GUCGAGAAUCUUUCACAAUGGGGGCAACCCUGAUGGAGCGACGCCGCGUGGAGGAUAAGGUCUUCGGAUUGUAAACUCCUGUCAUGCGUGAACAAGGGUGCUUGGAUAAUACCUGGGCAAAUUGAUGGUAACGCAAGAGGAAGAGACGGCUAACUCUGUGCCAGCAGCCGCGGUAAUACAGAGGUCUCAAGCGUUGUUCGGAAUCACUGGGCGUAACGGGUGCGUAGGUGGCGUUGUAAGUCAGAUGUGAAAGCCAGGGGAUCAACCUCGGAACUGCAUCCGAUACUGCCAUGCUAGAGUACUGGAGAGGUGACUAGAAUUCUCGGUGUAGCAGUGAAAUGCGUAGAUAUCGAGAGGAAUACCAAAGGCGUAGGCAGGUCACUGGACAGUUACUGACACUGAGGCACGAAGGCCAGGGGAGCGAACGGGAUUAGAUACCCGGGUAGUCC
rnacentral:rRNA from 1 species